AAACUUUGAGCUAUCUAUUUUCUCUAUUUAAUUUUAAAAAGUUGUUAAAUAACUGUUAUUCUCGAAAAACUUAAGUUGUCAGAAACGGUAUUUUUAAUAUUAGAAUAAUUAUCUAUAUAGCUCUCAAAAUUUCAAAAAUAUUUUAUUUAUUUCUAUAUUUUUUUUUUCUUUUUAAUAUAUCUCUUACAUGUUUUUUCGUUAUUCCAAAAUAUUCCUACAGUUAUCAUCAGUUAACUUGUUUUAAAUGUAAGUUAAAUAUCUAUUAAAGUUUUAAAAAAAUCAAAAUAACUUUUUUGUCCUUAACUUAAGGGCAAAUAAGAAAUGUUGGUAAUAGUAGAAAGGUAUAUUUAAAAUGACCAAAAAUCAAAAUAUUUUUUAUACUCCUAACUUAAGGGCAAGUGGUGGAAGGAUAUAUUUGAAAGGACAAAAUAGUAAUUUCAUACAGAUAACAAUUAUUGCUAACAGUUUAUUAACAGAAUUUAUCUCUAGGAGCAUAUUUUAAAUAAGUUAGAACGUAAAAAAGGUAUUUUCAAUAUUAGCCUUCUAAGGAAGGUAAAUCAGAAAGUCAGAAACCUUUCAAAGUAUAUAAGCAAUUGUCCUUCUAAUAUUUGUACACAAUACUCUUCCUUGCGUCUAGAAAAAUGUGAAUUAAAUGAGAGUAAAUUAAAUAAUGCUCAGAGCACGACUAUAAUUGAAUAUAGAAUCUUCUACUCUUAUACAAUGAUAAACAAUCGUUAUCUUUCAAAAAAUUUAAGCUAAUACUUUAAUAUUUAUAUUCGACAAUCACUUUCCUUAGAGUGCAUA
rnacentral:lncRNA from 1 species